GCUCGUAGUUGGAUUUGUGGGGGAACCUCUGGCCCAUUUUGGUGCCGUGAGGAACCGCCAUCCUUGGGUGGAGCCUGUGUGGCAUUAGGUUGUCGUGCAGGGGAUGCCCAUCAUUUACUGUGAAAAAAUCAGCGCGUUCAAAGCAGGCUUAUGCCAUUGAAUGUAUUAGCAUGGAAUAAUAAGAUAGGACCUUGGCACUAUUUUGUUGGUUUGCGCACCGAGGUAAUGAUUAAUAGGGACAGUUGGGGGUAUUCGUAUUCCAUUGUCAGAGGUGAAAUUCUUGGAUUUCUGGAAGACGAACUACUGCGAAAGCAUUUACCAAGGAUGUUUUCAUUAAUCAAGAACGAAAGUUAGGGGAUCGAAGAUGAUUAGAUACCAUCGUAGUCA
rnacentral:rRNA from 1 species